UGGGGAAUAUUGGACAAUGGGCGAAAGCCUGAUCCAGCCAUGCCGCGUGUGUGAAGAAGGUCUUCGGAUUGUAAAGCACUUUAAGUUGGGAGGAAGGGCAUUAACCUAAUACGUUAGUGUUUUGACGUUACCGACAGAAUAAGCACCGGCUAACUCUGUGCCAGCAGCCGCGGUAAUACAGAGGGUGCAAGCGUUAAUCGGAAUUACUGGGCGUAAAGCGCGCGUAGGUGGUUGGUUAAGGUGGAUGUGAAAGCCCCGGGCUCAACCUGGGAACUGCAUCCAAAACUGGCAAGCUAGAGUACGGUAGAGGGUGGUGGAAUUUCCUGUGUAGCGGUGAAAUGCGUAGAUAUAGGAAGGAACACCAGUGGCGAAGGCGACCACCUGGACUGAUACUGACACUGAGGUGCGAAAGCGUGGGGAGCAAACA
rnacentral:rRNA from 1 species